ensembl:lncRNA
CACGCUGAUUGGGCGAAGCGUACCGACGGGCGCUCUCCUCCUUCCUGACGCCUCCACCCCGCAGAGCUCCGCCCGAGUCCACCCGUUGAGCCUUCGCUGCAGCCGGGUCUCCAGCGCAGAAGCUAAACCUGAAGCAGGACGGCGCCUGCGGGGGAGAAGGAGCAUUUAUCUCGCGGACCCGGAAACAGACCGAGACACUCUUACGAAUCGCGUUCCCCACAAGAGAAGGCACUACCCUUAAACAGCUCAGAAAUAUGUAAUUUCAUGUAGUCACCUCUUAACGACAAUCACUGUCUCAUCCCGCUGCAUGGCUGCAUAACCAAGAGAGGAGGCCACAGAAAACUGGGCUUUCUAGCUCCCUGCCCUUAAGCAAAAUCACGUGAUUGAAUCCAGCCAAUGGAAUGCAAGCAGAGGUGAGGCCAUCAACAGCCCUCCAUUCC